CUGUUUUAUAAGCGUAGCUUCUUUUUUUUUGUUGCCAUUUUUCGCUCUUCUUGAAUUCCUCAACUCAAGUAGCCUAGGUUUAUGCAAACAGGUGCACUUCAUGUUUGAGGAACAUAACUUUCGACUAUUCCAAACUAAUGGCACUUUGAUUAGUUUACUGGCAAGGCUACAUCCCUGCUGGAAAAUACAUCUUAAGCUGGUCUUUGGCCAGAAACAACUACUAUCAACCUGUUUUGUUUUUGUAACAUUGUAACUGGCCAGCCAGCUAAUAACAACCUUACUCCAUCUAAUUAGCGUAACGUUAGCUGGCAACUAUCUACCGUGUUCAAACAUCGCUAGCAUAUUAAGCUAGAGUCUCCCACAGCAUGAGAGCGAAAAAAACAGAUGGGAAAGAUACAGCUGAGCAUGCCCAUAUGAUCUAAUCUAAUCUGAAUCUUCAAGAUUCAAGAAGCUUCACUACUUCCUUAGCCAAAGAGGCAAUCCUCAUUUGCAAACUUUGAUCCAUCUGGUGUGGAGGGGGAAAGAGAGGUGAUGUGCCCUUUGACCUUUUAAAGGAGAGGGGAGCAGCUCCGUAUCUCAUGCUCCUCAGCCGAUCCUGUUUGAUCUGGACUCACCUCAGUUCACAAGUCUCAGCUUCUGGCCCCAACCCACAAAGGGAGGAAUGUGUAGAGCUGGUAGAGAAGAAUUGCUUCGUUGGCCCAAAACAAUACUGAAAUGUAAUGUUUAUGGCAGCCACGUGAAGACAUACUAGACUUGAAAACAUACCUGAGAUGGGUGAGGUCACCAGCAAAUACUAUGACAUGUUGAAUAUCUGCAUGAAGCCCACCUGCAUAGGAAUGACAAAAGGGACCACCAAGAUUAAAUGCAAGGUUUCCAUGGAAACCAGUUGAUGGCUGACUGCACUGACUUUAAAUGCCUGCAUAGACAUUACAGACUGAGUCAGUGGACUAACAGUGUAGGCCUUUCCUUUUUAAGCAUUUUAUAGCUGUCGGGACAGAAAUUUUACUUUACACAGAUUGUUCAUCGAUCCUUGUAGAUGCUGGGAUGACCAAAUAUAUGUCAGGCUCCCUAACCAAAGCCAUAAACUUAUGCUGCAAAUCACUUGAGAAAAUAACAUUGCUGCAGGAGCCCCGAAUUACAUGUACAUAUUAUGCAUACCAAAUGGUUUCACGUCAGUUUGCAUUAAGGCAAAGUUGAUUGUUCAAUUUGGGUUGGAUCAUGAAAGUUAUGUGACUGUCCAACUUUAUGGCAGUCUUUAAUAAGUAAGCAGAUAAUUAUACUUGAAGCGUCCGUGCAAUAACAUAUUUUAGCAAAUGCAUCUGCAAUGAUACCCAGGUCCUAGUAGUGGCUCAUAUGAGUUAUUGUGAUGAAUAUUCACUAUGGAAAGGCAAAUUUGGUUUAUCUUUCUAUUUUACAACCACAGCUUUAAAAAUGGGCUGACUUCCAAAAAUGUAUAUGUGUAGAAUGUAAAAAGUUGCUUCAAUGAGACGGUUACAGUUAUACAUAUUUACAUUAUUCAGGGCUUUUCAAAAUUGAAAUAGAAGAUUAAUUAUAAAAUCGUAAAAAGAAUUUGUAUUGUAAUUCUAAGCCUUUCCCUGCAUGCCUAUGAUGCAAAAAUCUCUUUUGGGUAGCUAGUUGGAUGUUGAUCACUUCUCUGUGCCAAAUCUCAACUCAGUCUUUAACCUGGUUAAAGAAUGCCGAUCACGUGUUUGUUUGUCAAAGGACGUCAGUCAAGCUAUUUGUUCAGGCUUGAUUUGGCGCUACGCCUUUAGAGCCCUAAUGAUUUUGA